GUACCGGGGGUAGAGCACUGAAUGGGCUAGGGGGCCUACAAGCUUACCAACCCCAAUCAAACUCCGAAUACCGAAUACAUGAUGUACAGCAGUGAGGCUGCGGGCGAUAAGGUUCGUAGCCGAGAGGGAAACAACCCAGAUCAACAGCUAAGGUCCCAAAGUCAAUGCUAAGUGAAAAAGGAUGUCAAAUCGCCCAGACAGCUAGGAGGUUGGCUUAGAAGCAGCCAUCCUUUAAAGAAAGCGUAAUAGCUCACUAGUCGAGGGAUUUUGCGCCGAAAAUAACCGGGACUAUAAGCAUUGCACCGAAGCUUUGAACUCAAUUUAUUGAGUGGUAGGCGAGCGUUCCAUCCACCGUUGAAGGUUGACCCGCGAGGGCAGCUGGAGGAAAUGGAAAUGAGUAUGCUGGCAUGAGUAGCGAUAAACAUAGUGAAAUUCUAUGUCACCGUAAGCCCAAGGUUUCCUGAGUAAAGUAACUCUUCUCAGGGUUAGUCGGACCCUAAGCCGAGGCCGAAAGGCGUAGGCGAUGGAAAACGGGUAAAAUAUUCCCGUACCAGCGAUUGAUUGUUUGAACUAUGGGGGGACGCAGGAGUGAAAGGUUAGCACGGUAUUGAAUGUCCGUGUCUAAGCAUGUAGGGUGGUCCGGUAGGCAAAUCCGCCGGAUCUUAUAACCUGAGAUGCGAAUGGGAAGCGCGCCUUCGGGCAAGCCAACUAACCCUAAUCAUACUGCCAAGAAAAUCCUCUAUGUGAGAUCAAUAGCUGACCGUACCGUAAACGGACACACGUGGGCGAGGAGAGCAUCCUAAGGUGCUUGGGAGAAUCAUGGUUAAGGAACUCGGCAAAAUAGCCCCGUAACUUCGGGAGAAGGGGUGCCCUUAUUAGGUGGAGAUCUUCGCGAUCCGAGCUGAACAGGGCCGCAGUGAAGAGGCCCAAUCGACUGUUUAACAAAAACACAGGUCUAUGCUAAGUCGUAAGACGAAAUAUAUGGACUGACACCUGCCCGGUGCCGGAAGGUUAAAUGGAGAGGUUAGUCCCGCUUGCGGGACGAAGCUUUGAAAUGAAGCCCCGGUAAACGGCGGCCGUAACUAUAACGGUCCUAAGGUAGCGAAAUUCCUUGUCGGGUAAGUUCCGACCUGCACGAAUGGUGUAACGAAUUGGGCACUGUCUCAACCAUGACCCCAGCGAAAUUGAAGUGUCGGUGAAGAUGCCGGCUACCCGCAGCAGGACGAAAAGACCCCGUGAACCUUUACUACAACCUAGUAUUGGAUUCUGAUUCUAUACGUGUAGGAUAGGUGGGAGGC
rnacentral:rRNA from 1 species